rnacentral:rRNA from 1 species
AUUGAACGCUGGCGGCAGGCUUAACACAUGCAAGUCGAGCGAGCGGCGGACGGGUGAGUAAUGUCUGGGAAACUGCCUGAUGGAGGGGGAUAACUACUGGAAACGGUAGCUAAUACCGCAUACCAUCAGAUGUGCCCAGAUGGGAUUAGCUAGUAGGUGGGGUGAGGUCUCACCUAGGCGACGAACCCAAGCUGGUCUGAGAGGAUGACCAGCCACACGGAACCUGAGCUACGGUCCAGACUCCUACGGUACGCAGCAGUGGUGAAUAUUGCACUAGUGGCGCAAGCCUGAUGCAGCCAUGCCGAGUGUGUGAAGAGGGCCUUCGGGUUGUAAAGAACUUUCAGCUGGGUGGCGUUACUAGCAGAAGAAGCACCGGCUAACUACGUGCCAGCAGCCGCGGUAAUAC